rnacentral:rRNA from 1 species
AUUGAACGCUGGCGGCAUGCCUUACACAUGCAAGUCGAACGGCAGCACGGGAGCAAUCCUGGUGGCGAGUGGCGAACGGGUGAGUAAUAUAUCGGAACGUGCCCAGUCGUGGGGAUAACGUAGCGAAAGCUACGCUAAUACCGCAUACGAUCUAUGGAUGAAAGCGGGGGAUCGCAAGACCUCGCGCGAUUGGAGCGGCCGAUAUCAGAUUAAGGUAGUUGGUGAGGUAAAGGCUCACCAAGCCGACGAUCUGUAGCUGGUCUGAGAGGACGACCAGCCACACUGGGACUGAGACACGGCCCAGACUCCUACGGAGGCAGCAGUGGGAAUUUUGGGACAAUGGGCGCAAGCCUGAUCCAGCAAUGCCGCGUGCAGGAUGAAGGCC